AACCUGGCUGAAAUAAGCGAUGGGAGCCCACUUCUCAGAAUCACGUUUCUGAAAGAGAAUGGCAGCUAAGGCAAUUGCACUCGCAUCAGUGUGAAGCUCAGUUUCGGCAUACGGAUUAUAAAGUCCAAGAACCGGAUAAGAUGUUAAUUCUUUUUUUAAAAUUAAAAAUGCAUUUGAGCACUCCUCAUUAAAAUCAAAGGAGACUGAUUUUCGUAAUAAAUUAUUCAAAGGACGAGCCUUGACUGCAUAAUCCUUAAUAAAUUUGCGAAAGAAAUUCGUAAGGCCAAGAAAUCGCUGGACUUGUACUGUAUUUUUGGGUUGAGGAAAGUCUUUCACAGCCUUGCAACAAAAAUACCUCCCUCAAAACAGAGAAGUUUUCCUCGACAGUGACAGACGGCACCAAAAUAUCAUCUAUGUACACCAAAACUUUGUCUUUUCGUAUAAGAGGUUGAAAGAUUUGAAUCAUCCUCUUUUGAAAUUCGGCUGGAGCUUCACAAUAACCGAAAGGAAGUUUUGUGUAUUCAAAUUGACCAUCCGGGGUCGCAAAUGCAAAAUACUUCAUAUGUUCAGGAUGAACAUCAAUUUGGUGAAAGCCAUCUUUCAGAUCUAGUAAUGAGAAAACCUUUUUAUUGCCAAGUCGAGAAAAACAAUCCUCCAUUAGAGGGAAAGGAUAUUUCUGUUUUACCACCCGUUCGUUUAAAGGACGUAAAUCAACACAGAGACGCAUCGAACCAUUUUUCUUAAUAACCGGUACGACUCUCGCACAAUAGGGAGAGAUACUAGGUUUUAUGAUACCUCUUUGUAGAAGAUCAUCUGUGAUUUGACGAAUCUGUGUUCUCUCAGCCCAAGCAAAACGUCUUGUCCCGAAAUCCGUUACAAAAUUCGAUACAUCUAAAUCAGAAGAAAUGUUAGAUAUUUCAUCCACUUCGAUAGAAGCAAUUUCAGAAAAAAGUUGAAGCUUAGAUGUUUUAUUUCCAAAAGCUUCACAAACAAUUAUAAUCUUAUAUGUUUGAAGGAAAUCACGACCGAGAAUCAUGUCAACAAAAAGAUCAUCGUCCUCCAAAAUAUUAAAAGUAACCUUAAAUGUUUUGUUUGGAAAAACAGCGAGUUGUAAUACGGUUGAGAUCUCUCCACGAACAUUAAUUGUGCUUUUAUUAAUAGCCUUAAAGGAUCGUGACGGGAUCCUCGUUUGUAUAGAUGAAAUAUCAACAAAUCUUGAUAAGACAGAAGGACGGAGAAAAGACACAGCGCUUCCAGUGUCAAGUAACGCAUCUAAAGAGCAACUUAGAUUAUUCAAAGCGGUAACCUUAAUUAAGUUAUCGCCAAUGCUCAAAGUUGAUUCUGUGUCAAUACACGCCACCAAAGAAGACUCGGACGACUGCGAAGAUCGUGAAAACUUCGUUGGAGAUAAGGGAGGAGAAGACUGCGUUGAUGGAGGAGCCACCUCUUGAACUGUAGCAAUAGAAGCAAGCUGGGAAGAGGAUACGGGAGAUGAUUUGUACUGCUCCUUCUUCUUCAAACGAAAACAAUCGUCUCGUGUAUGUCCCUUAGAACGACAAUAAACGCAGAAAACAUCCUUAGCAGGUUCUGUUGUUAGACUGUCCUUUCCAGAUUCUACAAUUUCAUUCUUAAGUUUAGUCUUGUCCGUGGAUUUAUUUACAAAUGGUGGGGAUUUAUUGGAAGAAUCUCCAUAU